UACGAAGGGGGCUAGCGUUGUUCGGAAUUACUGGGCGUAAAGCGUGCGUAGGUGGUUCGUUAAGUCUGAUGUGAAAGCCCUGGGCUCAACCUGGGAAUGGCAUUGGAAGCUGGCGACCUAGAGUGCGGUAGAGGGUAGUGGAAUUCCCGGUGUAGCGGUGAAAUGCGCAGAUAUCGUGAGGAAGACCAGUGGCGAAGGCGGGUCUCUGGACAGUUCCUGACGCUGAGGCGCGAAGGCCAGGGGAGCCAAACAGG
rnacentral:rRNA from 1 species